CCGGCGCGCGCCAGGAGUGUCGUCACAUGCCGCGUCGGCGCGGGCUGAUGACGCGCAAGGGCAGAGCCACCGCCUGUGCUAGAUCCGAGAACGGUGCCCAGCGCGCCCUGUACGUCACUUUCUGCGACGGCGCGGGAUGGUGACGCCAGGGCUCGGGUGCCGGGGCCGAGCGAUUCCCGCCGGGUUGAGCUCCGCCCCGCUAUCCCGGCAGCUUUCUGCCCCAGAGGCUCGCGGGCCAGGAUCCAGACUUGUGUUCUCUCGGCUGUAGGCCGCGCUUCCGCCCGCGGAGCUCUGUCCCGCCGCGUCGGUGCACAGGGGGACCUCCUGUCUUGUGGCAGCAAGUUGGCUGCUGUGGAAAGACCUCCGAAGCCGCAGCUUAACCGCACAUGUUCAGAUUUAAAAAAAAAGGAAAAGUAUUGCCAUCGAGUGGAUUCCCACUCUUAGCGACCCUACAGGACAGAGUGGAACUACACCAUAGGGUUUCCAAGGAGCCGCUGGUGGAUUUGAACUGCCUAGCAGCUGAACUCUUAACCACUGUGCGACCAGAAAGGAGGAUAAUAAGCCUUGCCUACUAUAGCCGCGCUCUGGCUCUGCGUUACUCAAAAACAGGGCAGGUAGAGCUUUUGCAACGUGAUUUUAAAAUUUACACUGAGGCAGUGUUCCCCAAACUGGCUACUACUCAAAUUCACCCAGAUGGUUUUUAAUGACCUUAACUCCCAAAAAUUUCAGUGCAAGUGCAGCUUGGACUUUUUCCUUCAGUACCAUGGGUUCUGAUCAUAUGCUUCCUCUUGAAAUAGUUGAACAUCCACCAAUUCUUUUUGGUAUAAUGACUCUGUGUAUUCUUUCCAUCUUCUUUUGAUACUUCCUGCGUUAUUUAAUAUUUUCUCCAUAGAACACUGUUUCAUGAAGUAGCAUAUGAUCAGGAACUGAUGGUACUGAAGGAAGAAGUCCAAGCUGCACUGAAGGCAUUGGCGAAAAACAAGGCUCCAGGAAUUUAUGGAGUAUCAACUGACAUGUUUCAACAGAUGGAUGCAGCGCUGGAAGUGCUCACUCACUAUGCCAAGCAAUUUGGAAGAUAGCUACCUGGCCAGCUGACUAGAAGAGAUCCGUAUUUAUGCCUAUUCCCAAUAAAAGUGAUCCAACUGAAUGUGGAAAUUAUCAAACAAUAUUAUUAAUAUCACACACAAGCAAAAUUUUGCUGAAGAUCAUUCAAAAGCAGCUGCAGCAGUAUAUUGAAAAGGAACUGCCAGAAAUUCAGGAAGAUUCAGAAGAGGAUGUGGGUGGAACCAAGGAUAUCGUUGCUGUCGUCAGAUGGAUCCUGGCUGAAAGCAGAGAAUACCAGAAGGAUGUUUGCCUGUGUUUUAUUGACUAUGCAAAGGCAUUCAACUGUGUGGAUCAUAACAAAUUAUGGAUAACAUUUUCAAAAAAUGGGAAUUCCAGAACAGUUAAUUGUGCUCAUGUGGAACCUGUACAUAGAUCAAGAGGCACUUGUUUGAACAGAACAAGGGAAUACUGCGUGUUAGAGUCAGGAAAGGUGUGCAUCAAGAUUGUAUCCUUUCACCAUACCUAUUCAAUCUAUAUGCUGAACAAAUAAUUUGAGAAGCUGGACUAUAUGAAGAACGGCACAUCAGGAUUGGAAGAAGACUCAUUAACAACCUGCUUUAUGCAGCUGACACAAUCUUGCUUGCUGAAAGUGAGGAGGACUUGAAGCACUUACUGAUGAAGAUCAAAGACCAAAGCCUUCAGUAUGGAUUACACCUCAAGAUAAAGAAAACAAAAAUCUUCACAACCGGACCAAUAAACAACAUCAUGACAAAUGGAGAAAAGACUGAGGUUGUCAAGGAUUUCAUUUUACUUGGAUCCACAGUCAACACCCAUGGAAGCAGCAGUCAAGAAGUCAAAAGAUAUAUUGCAUUGGGCAAGUCUGCUGCAAAGGACCUCUUUAAAGUGUUGAAAAGCAAAGAUAAUCACCUUGAAGACUAAGGUUCACCUGACCCAAGCGAUGAUAUUUUCAUUUGCCUCAUAUGCAUGUGAAAGCUGGACAAUGAACAAGGAAGACAGAAGAAGAAUUGAUGCCUUUGAGUUGUGGCAUUGGCGAAGAAUAUUGAAUAUACCAUGGACUGCCAAAAGAAUGAACAAAUCUGUCUCGAAAGAAGUACAACCAGAAUGCUCGUUAGAAGCAAGGAUGGUGAGACUGUGUCUUACAUACUUUGGACAUGUUGUCAGGAGGGAUCAGUCCCUAGAGAAGGACAUUAUGCUUGGUAAAGUACAGGGUCAACGGAAAAGAGGAAGACCCUUAAUGAGAUGGAUUGACCCAGUGGCUGCAACAAUGGGCUCAAGCAUAACAAUUGUAGCAGGAUGCAGGAUGGGCCAGUGUUUCAUUCUGUGGUACAUGGGGUUGCUGUGAGUUGGAACCGACUCGAUGGCACCUAACAACUCCGAAGGCCCCACUUCAAACCUACGGAAUCAGAACCUCCAGGGAAGAAACUGUGGCAGAUGAACAUUCAUCUGUAUCAACCAGUCUGAAAGGGAGAAUGCAGGAGAUUGUGACAAAUUGAACCGGAGACAAAAAGGGCCCGUGGUAGAUGCAGUGGACAUGAACGGCUGCUUAGAAUUUGUUUUUCUCCCAAAAUGAAAUGUUUACUUUGUAUAUUCAGGCUCUGAUUUUGCUUCCUGAGUUCUUGGUAACUUGGGAAAGCUUCCUUUUUUCCUCCAUUCAUGCUGGAAACUGGUCGAAGGUAACAAGAAGCCAACUUGGAUCAAUUAUGUAGCACAAAUGCAUGACGGUUACCCAAUGAAGAAAGCCAAAGACAGACGGACGUAUUUCACAUUUAGUUUACUUUUGCAGAAUGAGAGUCUUAGACAGUUGCUACCAUGGCUGCUUAUUUAGAUAAAAAUAGCAGAAGGUAUCCACAGGAUCAAGGACACAGUAUCCAUUUAUUACCACAACAGAAUUAACAGUGGCUUGCUACAUUACUGAACACAACCACUUUCUAGAAAGCACUAAUGUAGUUAUAUAAACACUGAAGCAGGUGACAUAUAAAACACUAUCAACAUUUCUAUGUGAUGUACUUUGACUUCUCCACAGUUUUGCCUGGUGUGAAGCAAAUAUAAUUUGGCUCUGACGAAGGCAAUUAGUGAUAAAAUCUUCAAGUUUCUCCAAGUGGGAAAAUCACCAGGCUCCAGUUCUCCUCAACGAGAGGAUCUUCGUGCAGGCGCAGACACCUCAGCUCACAGGUUUGCCAAGUCUAGAGAGAGCAAAUCAGCUGCAUGCCACUUUCCCUCCAAUGAAAGCGGAACAAAACAGAGCAAACCAACCAAAAAACAAGACUUUGUCCAUUAGAAGAGUUUCUGAGUUUGGAUGUCAGGGCAAGGACCCAGUGGCAAUGAACUCAGAAUCAGAGCCCCCAGGACAUCCUUCAGCGACUGCACAGUUGAAGGUUUCUACACUCUGAACUCAGUUGAGUGGCAGACCCACAGUCAUCACGACCCCCCAGAUUCCCUCUUGGCUUCUCAGCUAGGACAGAGAGAAAUUGCCAGACUCCUCCUGGAUGUUCUUAUUUAUAAAUUAAAAAAAUGAAGAGGCAAGCAGGGCCGGUAUGUAUUUUCCGAAAGAAAAAAGCCCUUAGUGCAAUGUUGGUCAAAGGCUAAAGGGAAGGAAAUUAUUCCUACAUCUGAGCAUAUCCUUGUUCACUUUUUCCAACCCAGGGAAAAAAUGAAAAUACUUCUGGACCUUAAAAGCACACCAUGUGGAUAGAUUUAAAAAGCUGUGUUAUGCUGCUUCUCCCCCUACUGACCUGUCUAAAUGACCAGGCCAACGAAAGUGUCACAGCAGGAAGCAAAACCCAUUGGUUCUGGGAAAACUAAACGUCAGAUGCAAAGAACAGCUUUAGUUCAUAUUUCUUGUACAGUGCUUUAAUUUUUUCAUUACCGUUUCUGAGAUACCAUGUUUAUCUUUCUCAAAUUACAGAUACAUUUUGGAUUGUGCAAAAGUAGCCUCAGCUUCCCAGGCAGGUUAUUUUAAUGCUGAUAUGCAUGAAAUUACAAUGACAGGAAUUUCCAAGGAAAGCUUUUAAUGCCACUCAGUAGUAGAAAUAUUGUCAAACAUUAGAAAUCUGUACAUCUUGAAGCGUCAAUGUAAGUCAGCGGAUGAUUUGACACAGAAGGUUUGGCUCAAGUGUUUUGUUUCUUUACAGAGGCACAGACAAUAACCACGGAUCCAAGAGUUAACCCAGCAUGAGUGACGACACCCAGUGUCAGUGUUUACACAGGACAUCUCCAACGGUUCAACAAAAAGAACAUACUAUUCUAUAAAAAUCACUAGGCAGAGUAAAUAAUAAACACAUUGUCUCUGUACAGUCAUUAGACAAAUGGCCACACCGGGCUGCAGCCUUCCAGCUCCCAACUCAAGGUACAGGGCUGUUCUGGAAAAGUCUUGAGAAGUGGAUGCCGGAAACUGAUACUAGGGACGUGCAGGACGGACAGGAUUGAGGAGGACAGGGUGCAUGUCGGGAGCAAGAGAGCGUGCUGGCCUGGCAUAGACUCUACUGUCUACUCAGAAGGAGUGGUCUCCAAAGCAGCUUUGCAGGUCUUUGCCCCAUUGCUAACCAUUUAGGAGAAUCCUCCUUUGCUUUCUGGUCCACACAUUUGGAAAACUGAAACAGGCCGCAAGCUGCUGGUGGAGGUGGCAGAGACCAAAAACCAAACCCACUGCUGCUGAGUUGAUUCCGCCACGACUCAUGGCAACCCCGUGUGUUACAGAGUAGAGCUGAGCUCCGUAGGGCUUUCUGGGUUCUAAUAUUUAUGGAAGCAGAUCGCCAGAGCUUUCUUCCUCAGCGCAGCCAGGGGGCGGGGUAUUUGAGCUGCCAACCUUUAGAUUAGUAGUCAAGAGCAAAUUGCAAUGGCAGAGAGGAGGCAGGAAUUCAUACAGGGGACACAGGACUUGGAAUCUUGAAAAUACUCAGAAACCAGGGCCUGAGUGUCUGGUCACACUCAAAUGACAGUCUUUGAGAAGGCCAACGUGCAGACCUACCACAGGGCAACCACAGAUGGCUCUCCCAUCUCUGCCAUACCACAGUGGUCAGCAGCUGGCUGGGCAGCCAUGUUCUCCAGGGAGGUGGUGGCCAGGCCCCUGGCUGGGGAGGCAGGAGCCCCAAGGAGGCGGGUCUUCCGCUCCAUUUGGCCACUCUGGGACAGCCUGCCACCCAGCCACUUUUGAUAAAUUUAGUUCUGUUUUCGAGAAAAGCAAAAAGAUGAAGGGAAUGAGAAAACGCUCUCACAGCUGAAGCCAGUUGGGCACCGGUGAGCAGACACACAGGUCCCUGCACACAGGGGUCAGCUGUGCAGAAAGGAUGGCUCGCUCUCUUAGACUGCUGUGUACACACAGUGGGGUGGGGUGGGUCAGCUGUUCAGAAAGGACAGCUCAUGCGCUUAGACUGCUGUAUACACGCAGGGCCUGGCUUUGAUUAGUCACCGAGACAAACUUUCCAAGUGGGUGGAACUCAUUGAGAUGGAAUUAUUGCUCUUUGUUUCUGAGACAUUGGAUCUCCAGGAGGGGCUAUUUUCUUGCUUUACAUUUUCCAGGUGAGAAGCCAGGUGGAAAGUGGCAAAACAAUUAUGGGAGCCCAAGACGGAAUA